CGCCUGGGGAGUACGGCCGCAAGGUUAAAACUCAAAUGAAUUGACGGGGGCCCGCACAAGCGGUGGAGCAUGUGGUUUAAUUCGACGCAACGCGAAGAACCUUACCUGGCCUUGACAUGCAGAGAACUUUCCAGAGAUGGAUUGGUGCCUUCGGGAACUCUGACACAGGUGCUGCAUGGCCGUCGUCAGCUCGUGUCGUGAGAUGUUGGGUUAAGUCCCGUAACGAGCGCAACCCCUAUCCCUAGUUGCUAGCAGUUCGGCUGAGAACUCUAGGGAGACUGCCGGUGACAAACCGGAGGAAGGUGGGGAUGACGUCAGGUCAUCAUGGCCCUUACGGCCAGGGCUACACACGUGCUACAAUGGUGCGCACAGAGGGCUGCAAACCCGCGAGGGGGAGCCAAUCUCACAAAACGCAUCGUAGUCCGGAUCGCAGUCUGCAACUCGACUGCGUGAAGUCGGAAUCGCUAGUAAUCGUGAAUCAGAAUGUCACGGUGAAUACGUUCCCGGGCCUUGUACACACCGCCCGUCACACCAUGGGAGUGGAUUGCACCAGAAGUGGUUAGUCUAACCUUCGGGAGGACGAUCACCACGGUGUGGUUCAUGACUGGGGGUGAAGUCGUAACAAGGUAACCGUA
rnacentral:rRNA from 1 species